rnacentral:rRNA from 1 species
UACAGAGGUCUCAAGCGUUGUUCGGAUUCAUUGGGCGUAAAGGGCGCGUAGGCGGCGAGGUAAGUCGGGUGUGAAAUCUCAGGGCUCAACUCUGAAACUGCACUCGAUACUGCUUUGCUAGAGGACUGGAGAGGAGAUUGGAAUUCACGGUGUAGCAGUGAAAUGCGUAGAGAUCGUGAGGAAGACCAGUGGCGAAGGCGGAUCUCUGGACAGUUCCUGACGCUGAGGCGCGAAGGCCAGGGGAGCAAACGGG